rnacentral:lncRNA from 1 species
GUAGACCUUGUACACGAUGCCAUCUCGGGCGCUGUGUAUUUUUCCUCAUUGUGGCUCUUUUGAGCGACGCUGUGGGCCUGAUCCUUUUGUUGCUGGGGAUCUUUGCUACCCUAAACUACUGGGACUUCUUUGUCUACACAGGAUCUCUGAUCCUGGCUCUGAGCCUACUGUUCUGGCUGGCCUGGUAUUCUUUCAAUAUCGAGGUACCUCUUGAAAAGCUGGACUUUUAGUGUGCCCAUGGACAAGAGGGAUGCAGGUGGCAUAUGCUGAUGUGAACCCAAGGACCCUGGACAUGAAGCCCCCACACAGAAUGCCACUAAGACCAGGUCCCACUCGUUGCUUCCAACUCAGAACAAAGCACUCAAAACUCCAGUUUACAGAUGGAAGAAAUCUGAGCCUCAGAUCUGUUUAAAGUACUCCAAGGGAAAUUGCAUGGGUCUGUCUGGCCCAGAAGAAUCAAAUCAAGGUGUGCAGUCUUUGCAGCACACCCUCCGAUAGUAUCCAAGAGGGACCCAGAUGCUGCAAUGAUGGAGCUUUCACAUCACCCACCAGGAUAGCCGAGAAUGACUGUGAAUACCAGGACUCUCUCUGGAGCCCAAUCUCCCCGUGCCAAACCGCUGAUACUGCUGCCAGCACCCCAGAAGUUUGUGGAGGACAGAGGAGCCAUGAAGUUCCACCAGUGGGGCUUUUUAUAGGAACCACUCCACUCCUGGCUUAGAUACCAAAGAAACCUCUGGUCAAAGUCUUUUCAAAGAACUGCCAACGGAAAUCGGGGUCUCCCGUGAGCAUG